CAUGUUGAGUUAUUCCAUGGAGAGGCCCAAGGAAUGAAGAGUGUGGCCUCUGGCCAACAGCCUCCAACAACCAUGUGAGUGAGCUUGAAAGUGGAUCCUUCUAUAGUCUAGUCUUCAGAUGAGAUCACAGCCCAACUGAUACCUUGACUGCAACCUGAACACAGCAGAAGUGACGCCAUGCCUUUCCCAUGCCUGGGCUCAAGAGACCCUGCACAAUAAUGUUGGCCGCUCUCUUAGGACCCUCCUGCUGCUCCAUGCACAAACCCGUGGGUAGGAUGAGAGGUCGUGUGGAGAAAUACUGAGUCAGCCCAGUUGCCCCAGGCAAGCGAGGCAGCCCAACCAAGAACAGCAAAAUGCCACCUACCUGACCACGGGGACAUGUAUGAACUCAGCCAUACUCAGCUCAGAUGACUGGAAGUGCCCAGCUGACCCACUGACAUGGGAUUAAAAAUUGUCAUGAUAUGCCA